rnacentral:rRNA from 1 species
AUUAGUGAUUGGGGUGAAGUCGUAACAAGGUAGCCGUAGGAGAACCUGCGGCUGGAUCACCUCCUUU